UACGUAGGGUCCGAGCGUUGUCCGGAAUUACUGGGCGUAAAGCGCGCGCAGGCGGCCCGCGCGGUGUCACGUGAAAGCCCCGGGCUCAACCCGGGAGGGUCGUGGCAAACCGGCGGGCUUGAGGCCGGUAGAGGUGGGUGGAACUCCUGGUGGAGUGGUGAAAUGCGUAGAGAUCAGGAAGAACACCCGUGGCGAAGGCGGCCCACUGGGCCGGUACUGACGCUGAGGCGCGAAGGCGUGGGGAGCGAACGGG
rnacentral:rRNA from 1 species